CAGCAGUAGCCACGGUAAUACGUAGGUCCCGAGCGUUGUCCGGAUUUAUUGGGCGUAAAGGGAGCGCAGGCGGUUUAGUAAGUCUGAAGUUAAAGGCAUUGGCUCAACCAAUGUAUGCUUUGGAAACUGUUAGACUUGAGUGCAGAAGGGGAGAGUGGAAUUCCAUGUGUAGCGGUGAAAUGCGUAGAUAUAUGGAGGAACACCGGUGGCGAAAGCGGCUCUCUGGUCUGUCACUGACGCUGAGGCUCGAAAGCGUGGGUAGCGAACAGGAUUAGAUACCCGUGUAGUCCCUGUCUCUUAUACA
rnacentral:rRNA from 1 species